rnacentral:rRNA from 1 species
AAGAGUACGUGAAACCGUUCAGGGGUAAACCUGCGAAACUCGAAUGAACGAACGGAGAGAUUCAUCGUCACUCCUCGGCGUACGGAUGCGCGCUUCGAUGUCGCCGGUAUAUCGGAUCUUUCGGGAUUCGACCCGGCGUGCACUGGUCGCGUUCGUGGACGUCCGAGGACGGCGUGCACUUCUCUCUUAGUAAUGCAUCGCGACCCGUUCGACGUCGAUCUAAGCGCCGUCCGGGAGUCCGGUCGUUCGUCGUUGUCGUAAAAAGCAACGUUCGUCCUCCGGACCGCGACGGACGCCGAUCGGCCGUCUGGACGGUAGUGUAAAUAAGGUGUGAAACGCGCACGCGUAUCAAUACGCGUCCGGCCCGACGCAAGAUAACGUCGUUCGUCGAAAUUCCUGCCCGAGUGCGGAUUUCGAUGCGGCGCGUCUGUUGUGUGGCAGCCGUGUAGUCUCGGACCGUGCGCGUCUCGUGUCUGCGAUGAUUCGGUUUCGG